rnacentral:tRNA from 1 species
GGAGAUGUGGCUCUGUGGCAGAGUGCUUGCCUACUAUGCAGAAAACCCUGGGUUCCAUCUCCA